rnacentral:rRNA from 1 species
UACAGAGGGUGCGAGCGUUAAUCGGAAUGACUGGGCGUAAAGGGCAUGUAGGCGGUUAUGUUAGUCUGAUGUGAAAUACCCGGGCUUAACCUGGGAUAUGCGUUGGAAACGGCAUAGCUAGAGUAUGGGAGAGGGAAGUGGAAUUUCCGGUGUAGCGGUGAAAUGCGUAGAGAUCGGAAAGAACACUCGUGGCGAAGGCGGCUUUCUGGCCCAUAACUGACGCUGAGGUGCGAAAGCAUGGGGAGCAAACAGG